UCCAUGUUGCAUUAGAUAUAGACUAUUAUUUGAACUGAAGAAGAAGUGAUCGAGAAUGUUAUUUUGUGAAAUUCUACAUUAGUUAGAGAGGUAAACGAAUAGGAUGUGGAAACUUCUCUCGAACAUACGUGUUUUAGGGGGAAACCCAGAGAAAAAAAAAAUCCAAAGAAAACAAUAUCUACUAAGAGCUUGGGUCCUUACAAAUUUCUCUACCGGGAAAUAGAGGGAGAGAGAGGAGAGAAAAACACGUGCCCCACUCCUUGAUUUGGAAGGGGAGAGACGAGAUUCAAUACUUUUCAUUGGGCGAGAGGAAACAUAGCUCCUCUUUUCAUUCCAAAAUCGAGAAUACGACCAAUACGGUAGAUUGAUCUAUGUAUCCUUUCUUAUAUUCGGAUCGGUGAAAUCCCACACGGACACUGGAAAUAUGAAGUUACAAAGAAAACAAAAUGGGGAGCGGAGAAUUGAAUAGGUCAAAAAGAUUGUGGAAAGGGAUGAAGGAUGGUGUGGUAGCUUUCUAAAUUUCUUUUGUUCUGUUUUUGGCU